CAAAAAAGGUAUAUGCAAUGUGUUUUUACUGCCGGCCUGCCCACUGGCAGGCAGCAUCGACUGUUCUUCCUCCCAUCAUCAUCAUCUUCAGCAGCAGCAGAGCAGCAGCAGCAGGCUCCCCAGGCUCUCAAAGAUGGUAUCUUAACUAGAACUCCCUGGCCACUGAGAGAAAGAUGAAUGUGAGGAAGACAUGGUGACCAGCUGCAGGAGUGACAUGAGGACCUGAACCAAGAUCAUGAUGGAUGCCACCACAGCAUGGCUUGAUGAGCUGGCCAUGUCUAGGUCCGCACCUGGGAUUCGAAGCUGCGAACUCCAGGCUGCCAAGGCAGAGCAUGGGAAUCUAACCACUACGCCACCAGGUUGACUCCUCGCCUUAUUUUUAAGAACAAAGGCUCUGAAAGAAACUUUGACCUCCCCCACUGUCUAAAAGAAAUUCAAAAUAAAAGGCCUGUCCCCAGUACAGGCCAUCACCAUAGAUAAUUCUGGGUAUUGAUAGACUGUGAGGGUCCUUGCUAAGCCCAUUCUCAUCUACCAAACACUCACUUUUCCAUUUCCAUGUGAAUU
rnacentral:lncRNA from 1 species